rnacentral:rRNA from 2 species
UGGAUCCAGACUUUGAUUAUGGCUCAGGAUGAACGCUAGCUACAGGCUUAACACAUGCAAGUCGAGGGGCAGCGGGAUUGAAGCUUGCUUCAAUUGCCGGCGACCGGCGCACGGGUGAGUAACGCGUAUCCAACCUUCCGUACACUCAGGGAUAGCCUUUCGAAAGAAAGAUUAAUACCUGAUGGUAUGAUGAGAUUGCAUGAUAGCAUCAUUAAAGAUUUAUCGGUGUACGAUGGGGAUGCGUUCCAUUAGGUAGUAGGCGGGGUAACGGCCCACCUAGCCAACGAUGGAUAGGGGUUCUGAGAGGAAGGUCCCCCACAUUGGAACUGAGACACGGUCCAAACUCCUACGGGAGGCAGCAGUGAGGAAUAUUGGUCAAUGGACGAGAGUCUGAACCAGCCAAGUAGCGUGAAGGAUGAAGGUCCUACGGAUUGUAAACUUCUUUUAUAAGGGAAUAAACCCUCCCACGUGUGGGAGCUUGUAUGUACCUUAUGAAUAAGCAUCGGCUAACUCCGUGCCAGCAGCCGCGGUAAUACGGAGGAUGCGAGCGUUAUCCGGAUUUAUUGGGUUUAAAGGGAGCGCAGACGGGUCGUUAAGUCAGCUGUGAAAGUUUGGGGCUCAACCUUAAAAUUGCAGUUGAUACUGGCGUCCUUGAGUGCGGUUGAGGUGUGCGGAAUUCGUGGUGUAGCGGUGAAAUGCUUAGAUAUCACGAAGAACUCCGAUUGCGAAGGCAGCACACUAAUCCGUAACUGACGUUCAUGCUCGAAAGUGUGGGUAUCAAACAGGAUUAGAUACCCUGGUAGUCCACACGGUAAACGAUGGAUACUCGCUGUUGGCGAUAUACUGUCAGCGGCUUAGCGAAAGCGUUAAGUAUCCCACCUGGGGAGUACGCCGGCAACGGUGCGACUCAAAGGA